rnacentral:rRNA from 1 species
GACGGGGGGGGCAAGUGUUCUUCGGAAUGACUGGGCGUAAAGGGCACGUAGGUGGUGAAUCGGGUUGAAAGUGAAAGUCGCCAAAAAGUGGCGGAAUGCUCUCGAAACCAAUUCACUUGAGUGAGACAGAGGAGAGUGGAAUUUCGUGUGUAGGGGUGAAAUGCGCAGAUAUCAGGAAGAACACCAAUGGCGAAGGCAGCUCUCUGGGACGGUACUGACGCUGAGACGCGAAAGCGUGGGGAGCGAACAGG